rnacentral:rRNA from 1 species
UGCCGCUUGCGAGGGCGUAUGGUGGAUGCCUUGGCAGACAGUACCGAUGAAGGACGUUUGAGGAUGCGAUAAUCCUAGGGGAGCCUCCAACAUGGCUUUGAUCCUAGGGUCUCCGAAUGGGGGAACCCGCCGGCCGUCAUGGGCCGGCACCGCCUAUGGGCGGGGGGUACGCAGGGAAGUGAAACAUCUCAGUACCUGCAGGAAGGGAUACUCCGUGAGUAGUGGCGAGCGAAAGCGGAUCAGACCAAACCGGUUGCGCGUGAUACCCGUCGGGGGUUGCGUUGCCGGUGUCGUGGGAUCACGUGUCCCGGUUCCGACGGACCGGGCGGGAGUCAUAAAACGGCUUGCCAGGGGAACAGGCUUGAAGGCCUGGCCGUAGAGGGUGCCAGCCCCGUACCUGGACGUGAGCCGUCUUCCGAUCGUGUUGUCCCAAGUAGCGCGGGCCUCGUGGAAUCCCGCGUGAAUCAGCCCAGACCGUUGGGUAAGUCUAAGCAUACCUGUCUGACCGAUAGCGUACCAGUACCGUGAGGGAAAGGUGAAAAGCACCCCGGGAGGGGAGUGAAACAGUUCCUGAAACCGUGCGCCCACAAACCGUCGGAGCCUCCUUGUGGGGUGACGGCGUGCCUAUCGAAAAAUGAGUCUGCGAGUCAGUGGCGGGUGGCGAGCAUAAGCCGUGUGGCGUAUGCGUAGCGAAAGCGAGUCUUAAAAGGCGUUUUUUAGUCGCUUGUCCUGGACCCGAAGCGGGAUGAUCUAGCCCUGGGCAGGUUGAAGCGCGGGUAAGACCGCGUGGAGGACCGAACCCACCUGGGUUGAAAACCGGGGGGAUGACCUGGGGCUAGGGGUGAAAGGCCAAUCAAAUUCCGUGAUAGCUGGUUCUCUCCGAAAUGCAUUUAGGUGCAGCGUCGGUCGAUUGCGUCGCGGGGGUAGAGCUACCGGAUGCUUGCGGGCCCUUGUUGGGUACCAACAGCAGCCGAACUCCGAAUACCGUUGACGUGUAUUCCGGCAGUGAGUCGGCGGGGGAUAAGCUCCGUCGUCGAGAGGGAGACAGCCCAGACCGUCGUCUAAGGUCCCGAAGCGUGUGCUAAGUGGGAAAGGAUGUGGAGUCGCAUAGACAGCCAGGAGGUUGGCUCAGAAGCAGCCAUCCUUGAAAGAGUGCGUAACAGCUCACUGGUCUAGUGGUUCCGCGCCGACAAUGUAGCGGGGCUCAAGCACACCACCGAAGACGCGGCAGCAAUCUUCAUGGUUGCUGGGUAGGAGAGCGUCCUGCGAGGGGCGAAGCGGCGGUGGAAACCGGCCGUGGACUUCGUGGGAGUGAGAAUGCAGACAUGAGUAGCGAGAGACGGGUGAGGAUCCCGUCCGCUGGAUGACCAAGGGUUCCGGGGCCACGUUCGUCGUCCCCGGGUGAGUCGGGUCCUAAGGCGAGGCCGACAGGCGUAGUCGAAUGGAUGAACGGGUGGAUAUUCCCGUACCGACCAUGGACCGGCAAAACCGAGACGGUGAGUACUAACCUCCGCCUCGUGGUGGUUCCUUCCUUCGGGUUGGUGUCGCCGCGUGGCGUUGGGAGCGUAGCCGCAGUAGGUCAGCGCAGGGGUGACACGGAAUGGGAGCCGGCCGCGGAGGUGGUUUUCCGUGGUCAAGCACGCAGCCAGUCAUGUAGGCAAAUCCGCAUGGCGCGCAUGGCGAGGUGUGAUGAUGGGAGCCUUUUGGGCUCGAUAUCCGGUUGUCCAGGCCGUCGAGAAAAGCCUCGGCGUGAGGGCCAUGGCCGCCCGUACCCCAAACCGACACUGGUGGUCAGGUAGAGAAUACCAAGGCGAUCGAGCGAAUCCUGGUCAAGGAACUCGGCAAAUCACUCCCGUGCCUUCGGUAUAAGGGAGACCCGCUGGGGUGAACCGGCUAGCCCGGGGAGCUUUGGUGGGUGGCACAGACCAGGGGGUAGCGACUGUUUACCAAAAACACAGGUGCAUGCGAAGGCGAAAGCCGCUGUAUAUGCACUGACGCCUGCCCGGUGCCGGAAGGUUAAGAGGAUCCGUCAAUCCCUUCGGGGACGAAGCGGUGAAUUCAAGCCCCGGUAAACGGCGGUGGUAACUAUAACCAUCCUAAGGUAGCGAAAUUCCUUGUCGGGUAAGUUCCGACCUGCACGAAUGGCGUA